CCCUAGCCCUGAUUGAGUGGUCUGUUUGAGCUCUUUUUUUUGGUUUCGGCGCGGCAGCGAAGCUGCCGCGCCGAAACCAAAAAAAAGCGAGUAGCGAAAGCGGGAAUUGCU
rnacentral:misc_RNA from 1 species